rnacentral:rRNA from 1 species
CUGCUGCCUCCCGUAGGAGUCUGGGCCGUAUCUCAGUCCCAAUGUGGCCGUUCAACCUCUCAGUCCGGCUACUGAUCGUUGACUUGGUAGGCCGUUACCCCACCAACUAUCUAAUCAGACGCAAGCCCAUCUGUUAGCGGAUUGCUCCUUUCCCACUAAUAUCAUGUGAUAUCUAUGGCAUAUGCGGUAUUAGCAAUGAUUUCUCAUUGUUAUUCCCCUCUAACAGGUAGGUUGCUUACG